GGAUGUGAGGGCGAUCUGACUAUAACAUCUAUCACCCCAUUGACCACCAGGGCUGAUUUGGCUCCUUCCGCAGUGCUCCAUGUGUCCCUCCUGAAGCUGUGCGCUGGAUCAAAGAGGAUGACAACCCCCGAUAGAGGAGGAUCAUUCCUAGGCAGGGCUAGGUAAGUAGCUGCUCUCCCCUUGCAGAACCCCCAAACAAGCUCUCAGAAUGACCGUGAAAAGUGAAAUUUUUCUAUUGAUUCAAGACAUUGAGGCAGCCAGGACAGAACAAAGGAGAGCACUCACAAAAUCACUUUGUACUUGCAUCAGCAUGUGGCAGGAGUGA
rnacentral:snRNA from 1 species